AAAAAAAACAACAAACGUUUUUUUUCCUGUAAAUACGGCGGUGAAGUUAGUUUCAGGUUGGAUAUAUUUUCCUGUAAAUACGGCGGUGAAGUUAGUUUCAGGUUGGAUAUAUUUUCCUGUAAAUACGGCGGUGAAGUUAGUUUCAGGUUGGAUAUAUUUUCCUGUAAAUACGGCGGUGAAGUUAGUUUUAGGUUGGAUAUAUCUUCCUGUAAAUACGGCGGUGAAGUUAGUUUUAGGUUGGAUAUAUUUUCCUGUAAAUACGGCGGUGAAGUUAGUUUCAGGUUGGAUAUAUUUUCCUGUAAAUACGGCGGUGAAGUUAGUUUCCGGUUGGAUAUAUUUCCCUGUAAAUAUGGCGGUGAAGUUAGUUUCAGGUUGGAUAUAUUUUCCUGUAAAUACGGUGGUGAAGUUAGUUUCAGGUUGGAUAUAUUUCCCUGUAAAUACGGCGGUGAAGUUAGUUUCAGGUUGGAUAUAUUUUCCUGUAAAUACGGUGGUGAAGUUAGUUUCAGGUUGGAUAUAUUUUCCUGUAAAUACGGCGGUGAAGUUAGUUUUAGGUUGGAUAUAUUUUCCUGUAAAUACAGCGGUGAAGUUAGUUUCAGGUUGGAUAUCUGACGGACAUUCUCUGAGGAUCUACCGGUGUCUUCUCACUCUCCAUAACCGGGAAUAACAACAGCAGCGCGGUUAAAUCUACUCGACACCCUCACUGUCAACGUCGGUGUUGAAUAAGGGACCGUCAAUAAAUUACCGGUUGAUGUUCUCAGAAAAGGCUGUUUUCCUUCAAUAGCUUCACUGUCAUGUGACCAAAAGACCUAAAAUUGAUUUAAAAUAAUAGUACUAAGGUCGAUCAAUAAGA